GCACAGGAAGAUUAGCCAGUUGCUACCACUCACAAUUUCAGUGAGCGCCAGGAAAUUAGCCGGUCUUGCUUGGGGUUUUGUGAACAGCUUAUUAUAUGAUCUAAUGCAGACGCACUUUAUGAGCAUGGUGCAGUAUGGAAAGGGCAGUAUUGAUUGUGCUCAUUGUGAAUUAUGUGAAUAGAUAAAAGUGUGAGUGUGCAUAUAUAUUAGGCAAUUAUGCGCUCAGGUGCUAAUGUAAAAAUUCUGCUGAAUAAAUAUGAAAUAUGCCUCUAUCAGCAUCCGACUUGUGUCCCCUGACACUAGUCAUUUGAGAUGAUAAUUGGGAUAGUAUGUUUGCCUUCUUCUGAUGAGAUGAGAUAUUGUGAUGGUUCUCUCAGCCUCAAUUUAAAUGUGUAUUGAUCAGUGUGAGGCUCUGGAUCUCAAAUCAAAACAGCAGUACAACCCAUACACUUGCAUAUACUCUUGUUUUUCACAUUAUAUUUUCAACAAAUCUUGAAGUCCGCAGACAUAAAACAUCCUUUACGAUGUCGCUUAACAUAAGAUGCUCAUUUGUAUUUGUUCUCGCCCUCUUUUUCCAGUAGUAGUGUGCUAAUGUCAUGAUUUAAAUGAAGUAUUGAUCAGUUUAGGAGGGGAGAAUAGAGAGAGAGGGAGCGAUUGUGAGAGAAAGAAAGCAAGACCAGGGUUAUCGGUGUGGAUCGCACACAGAAAGAGAGUGCUAACGGAUGAGACACGUUUUAAGCGAUUCCGUGAAAUGGAUUUGUGCAUAAUUUUUAUUUUUAAUUCAGGAAUAACCGUCAGACAUGUUUGACUUAUUCUGAGAAGCAGUAACGGACACUGAGAUGAGAUCAGAGCUUUGUGGAGAAAAGGAAUGGGAAUUUUUUUUUUUUUUAUUCUUGUUUUUGAUUUCAUUUGGUUUCAUGGAGUAUUCUGUAUGGUUUGUCCUGGUUCCUGUUUGAGUCUCCAUCUUGUCUGGGACUCCCUCUGCAUCAGCGAUACUGCAGCAGCAUCAGGCAGACUGGACCAAAGCCUAGGAGUUAGUAGCUGGGCAUCCUGAAGCAAGGAUCUUUCAGUUGCUGCCUGACCUACACGAGAGCUGACUGGAUCUCAAGAGGAAUGGUCGUAUGCAGCAAAAUUAGAAGCAGCUACAGAGUCCGACUCAGCAGGCCCAGGAGCUCCAGAGUCAGCUGCAGGUAAUGGUGUCUAUUGCAGAUGGAAGCAGAGAAUUGAAGCACUAAUGGAAGAAGGAGGCAAAAGAGGCAGAACAAAGAACAGAUUUCUGAGCUACAGGUGGAGCUAGACAGGCCAAAGACACUGCUGGAGGAUAAGAAGCAAGUGCUGCAAAGAAAGGUUUCUCAGCCCAACUUUCGCUAGACUGAGAAGGAUGACCAUGACCUACAAAUGAAUAGGAUUGGGAGAAAUAAACAACAAAUAUCUCUUGCAUUGACUUGUCUCUGCAAUGGGCCUAAACCUUAGGGCCCAGGGCUGUAGGACCUGUUAAGAGACAGCGAUGAAGACCACGAGAGGAAGAAACGAAAGGGAGAUAACAACAAGCAGAGCAAACGGUGCAGGAGUCUGCGCUGAACGUGGAGGUGUUAAUCCUGCAAAUGGAGGUGUUGAAUCUCCAGACUGGUCAAAAACUGAAGCUCCACCAGGAAAGGCUUUCCCCCAGAAGUGUGCUCAAGGCAUCCAGGAGUGGAGUACACAUCGUGCAAACGUGGGGCAACCUGAGUGGAGGUGUCCAGAUUCAAGUAGCUCAAAGACAGCUGUCUG